AGUGAACGCUGGCGGUAGGCCUAACACAUGCAAGUCGAACGGCGGCACAGUAAGAGCUUGCUCUUACGGGUGGCGAGUGGCGGACGGGUGAGGAAUACAUCGGAAUCUACUUUUUCGUGGGGGAUAACGUAGGGAAACUUACGCUAAUACCGCAUACGACCUACGGGUGAAAGCAGGGGAUCUUCGGACCUUGCGCGAUUGAAUGAGCCGAUGUCGUAUUAGCUAGUUGGCGGGGUAAAGGCCCACCAAGGCGACGAUCCGUAGCUGGUCUGAGAGGAUGAUCAGCCACACUGGAACUGAGACACGGUCCAGACUCCUACGGGAGGCAGCAGUGGGGAAUAUUGGACAAUGGGCGCAAGCCUGAUCCAGCCAUACCGCGUGGGUGAAGAAGGCCUUCGGGUUGUAAAGCCCUUUUGUUGGGAAAGAAAAGCAGCAGGUUAAUACCCCGCUGUUCUGACGGUACCCAAAGAAUAAGCACCGGCUAACUUCGUG
rnacentral:rRNA from 1 species